rnacentral:tRNA from 1 species
GGGACCGUGGGGUAGUGGCAUCCUAUGCGGAUGGGGUCCGCAUGAACCGUGUUCGAUUCACGGCGGUCCCG